rnacentral:rRNA from 1 species
CGUCAAAUCAUCAUGGCUCUUACGACCGGGGCUAGACACGUGCUACAAUGGCGGCUACAAAGGGUUGCUACUUAGUAAUAAGAUGCCAAUCUCAAAAAAGCCGUCUCAGUUCGGAUUGAGGUCUGCAACUCGACCUCAUGAAGUUGGAAUCGCUAGUAAUCGUAGGUCAGCAUACUACGGUGAAUACGUUCCCGGGUCUU